GUCCACGCCGUAAACGAUGAGAACUAGUUAUUGUGGGUUUAACCCCUGCAGUAACAAAGCUAACGCAUUAAGUUCUCCGCCUGGGAAGUACGGUAGCAAGAUUAAAACUCAAAGGAAUUGACGGGGGCCCGCACAAGCGGUGGAUUAUGUGGUUUAAUUCGAAGCAACGCGCAGAACCUUACCUGGGCUUGAACUCCCACGAAGUCGGUAGAGAUAUCGAUGUGCCCGCAAGGGAAUGUGGUGAGAGGCGCUGCAUGGCUGUCGU
rnacentral:rRNA from 1 species